rnacentral:rRNA from 1 species
CCUACGGGGGGCAGCAGUGAGGAAUAUUGGUCAAUUGACGAGAGUCUGAACCAGCCAAGUAGCGUGAAGGAUGACUGCCCUAUGGGUUGUAAACUUCUUUUAUAUGGGAAUAAAACGUUCCACGUGUGGGAUUUUGUAUGUACCAUAUGAAUAAGGAUCGGCUAACUCCGUGCCAGCAGCCGCGGUAAUACGGAGGAUCCGAGCGUUAUCCGGAUUUAUUGGGUUUAAAGGGAGCGUAGGUGGAUUGUUAAGUCAGUUGUGAAAGUUUGCGGCUCAACCGUAAAAUUGCAGUUGAAACUGGCAGUCUUGAGUACAGUAGAGGUGGGCGGAAUUCGUGGUGUAGCGGUGAAAUGCUUAGAUAUCACGAAGAACUCCGAUUGCGAAGGCAGUUCACUGGACUGCAACUGACACUGAGGCUCGAAAGUGUGGGUAUCAAACAGGAUUAGAUACCCGAGUAGUC